rnacentral:lncRNA from 1 species
CCCCGGCGGGGAAUCGCUCCUCCCUUCUCUCUCCAUGUUCUCUGUGUCCCCCUAGCAGCCCCGGCUCUGCCGCCUGCUCCGCUCGGGCUCCCGCAGCCCGGCUUCUCCAGCCAGAAGCAGGGGGGAACCCAGGCGUCCGGGGCUGGCUCCUUGCACCAGAACCACCUGCCGGUGCUGAUCCUCCUGGUGCCCAUCCUGGUGUCUCUGGCCUUCGUGUGGCAGCGUCAGAGGAGGCUCCGUGGCCAGGUAGGGGGCGAAGGGACGGGGCUUCUGGCUGGUGGGAGGGAGGGAGGGCAGAUCCCAGGACUCCUGCAGCUGCUUCUUCCCUCUCUCCCCCCAGGGGACCCAGGAGUCCGAGUGGUCGGACACCUGAACGAGCGGGGUGCAGGAGCUGAUAGGAGAGAGAUGGCUCAGGACCCCCGGAGCCAUGGUCGGUCCUGCUGCUCUGGACUCUGCGACACGGGCAGCCAGCGCAGGUGGAGGCUGGGGCCACUGGAGCCAGAUGCUGCUUUCCACGCGCCGCUCCCGCGAGCCACGCAGAGGGUGGAAUCGGCCGUUCCCCUCGGCGGACUGGAAAGCUGAGCCCUGAGGCUGGCCCCCCACGGGCCGUGGGGCUGGCUGUCUACCCCCAGGAGGUGCUGUGCAGCGCUGACCCGGCCCCAUGGCUCCCGCUGUCUGGACCUCGUAGCUGCAGUGCCGGGGAAGCCGGAGAUGGAUUUUUCCUCGGGGGGUGUUUUGGGGGGACCAGGGUCUGCGAGGACAGAUGACCCAGCAGGAAGAAGCAAAUGACUCCCCCCACCCCCACCCCCACCCGCCACACAACCCCCAGCGGGCCCGAAAUGUAACUGGAAACCAAUGGAUUUGCCUUCGUGCCAGCGUGGGGGGCUGGUUAUUUGAGGACCCUUUGCCCUGGUGGGACCCGGAUGCCUGAGUUCCUCCCCCAACACCUGGGGCGGGGCACUGUGGCCAAGUGGGAAUUAUUCAUAAUAUUUUGUAUGAAGA